AAAUCAACCGAGAAACACCCAGAAGCGGCGAGCGAACGGGGAGGAGCCAAGAGCCUGAAUCAGAAAGUGUGUUAGUGGAAGCGUCUAGAAAGGCGCGCGAUACAGGGUGACAGCAACGUACACAAAAGCGCAUGUGCUGUGAGCUCGAUGAGAAGGGCGGGACACGAGGUAUCAAGUCUGAAUAAGGGGGGACCAACCUCCCAGGCAACAAACUCCUG
rnacentral:rRNA from 1 species